AUUUUUACGCAGAGACAGAUUGAAAGUAAAUGACCGACAAGUGAUGCUUUCUUCUUGCUAUUUGCAAACUAAUAUCCAAAACACUCUUGGCUUCGGCCUUUGAGUAAUUUUUGUCCAUAUUAUUAUA
rfam:Dictyostelium fasciculatum unplaced genomic scaffold Scf_ETAJFTG02HR96I-5, whole genome shotgun sequence.